CAGUGCCCAGGCCUUGAUCCAUGCAAAGGGCAAAGCCGCCCGACUCUAACGCAGAGCUGUGAGCCUGAAGGGCCGCGCUGGACAUGGCCAGAGAAAGACUUUUCUUUUUCCAACUUCGGCGUUUGGUUUUGUGUGUCCACCACGCGCAGCUCCGGAGCUGGCAGACCCCAAAUGGAUUCUCAACAGGUGGCCAAACUCAGGAGGUCGCACAUAUUCGAUAUCAGGCUUGAGCUGAGUCACCUGACUGUACACAGAACAUAUAUGCAGCUGUACCCGAAUACGUACCCGAGAAUUAGAGGAACACUAACAGCAGGAUCGGAAGAAAAAAAGAAGUGUUCGCAGACAGAAUUAUUCCAAUGCACGGGUGCACAUCAAGUUGUCCAGAUGCAGACAAAAGCUGUGGUGCCCACAAGGAAUGACCCCAGCCACAGGCAGAUGUGCAGGAAGCCACACACAGGGAGAGCCUGAAGGAGGAUGCAGGACUCGGGGCCAAGGGCUUCCUGCUAGAGGGACGUUGGCUUCCAAGGGUGAAACUGUUGAGCCAACCAGUUAAAGGUUUCAGGUCAAGUCCUGGAGACUAGAAAGAGCACAACGUCCAUCCACCGCUGAUCCUUUUGCCUUCCACUAAGCUGGGCUUUAGACACUCAGAAGAGGGCAACCCAGGAAAGAAUCAUUUUGAUUCGGGUUAUUUAUUUGUUACUAUUGUUGGUUAAGGAGAUUGUGUUCUGAAGAAGGAUGGGUGGGGAGCAUAGAUGGAUGCCCUAACUCAAUGCUGGGAGAUUCCUAAUUCUUAAUGGGAACAUUCGGCUCCAACGAGGGUUCAAGAAGCCAGGGGCCCUUAUUUUGCCUCUUUCUUGCCUUUCAUUGCUAAAUGCAGUCCUUAAAAAGAACCUUCGCCUAGCUCCACGCCCUCCUGUCCUCACUUCCAUCCCAAUCCCCUUUAUAUCAAAUAUGUCCACAAAAGAACACUCCCAAGCAAACUGAACUAUUUUAUUACACUAAUUUUCUUUGUGGGAUAUUGGGGUAUUCUCACCCCCUCCUACCCAUUUCCAAACAGAAGCCACCAUCCUGAGAGUUUCAAAGAGUGGCUGUUCCAAAAGGCCUUAGCAAGUGCACAGGCUUGAUGCUGCCUUCAGCUCCUUUUGCCUUCCAGACAGUAGCCACCACGAGUUUCCCCGCAGAAGAGGCAGGCACCCUGGAUGCAAAGUCGCCCUUCUUUCCACUUCACCUCCCCCACCCCAGCUCUCUCUCUGAAAGUCGAGGGUGCAUUUGGGAAGAUUCUUUUAGACAAAAAGAGGGGGAGGGAAGAGGACUCUCUGGGCUAGCAAGUGGAUGACUCCCCUCCAAGGGGCUGAGGAAGAUUUUUCUUGUGAAGAAGAGAUGAACCACUCCCUAAACAGGACAGGGGGACACUUUGAAGCAGAUCCAGUUGUCCAAGAAAUGUAGGGUGAGGAGUGGGAAGUAUGAGGAAUUUCUUCCCUUUUGGAGGCUAACAUGUGUGUCUCCCCCACCCCCAAUCCUGGAAAUUUUAGCAAGAGAUGUUCUGGUAGAUGUUUCAAACAAUAAAGACUGAAAAUCACCUGAGAGUCAAUUAAUGUUCCUUGGAAGGGCAGUUUCUUCCGGGACCUUUUUCUUCCCCCAGGUCUGUUUUUCCUUUUUCCCUAAUAAGAGUCCACCUGCUGUCACACCUCUGAAAGAGAGACAAAGACAGAAAUAAGGAGACCGGUACUCACAAACCUGAAGUGUAACUUCCAUUCCCAGUAGCUGAGAUUCUAGGAUGCAAGGAAGACAACUCCUUUCCUUUGGGGCAUUUCUUUUUCCCCUCUUUUGAUAGCUUAUUUAGAGCCUUUCCAAUAAUAAAAAAUAAUCAGCAUUUUAGAGUCGGCGACUUCGGCUCU
rnacentral:lncRNA from 1 species